GACGAACGCUGGCGGCGUGCUUAACACAUGCAAGUCGAACGGAAAGGCCCUGCUUUUGUGGGGUGCUCGAGUGGCGAACGGGUGAGUAACACGUGAGUAACCUGCCCUUGACUUUGGGAUAACUUCAGGAAACUGGGGCUAAUACCGGAUAGGAGCUCCUUCUGCAUGGUGGGGGUUGGAAAGUUUCGGCGGUUGGGGAUGGACUCGCGGCUUAUCAGCUUGUUGGUGGGGUAGUGGCUUACCAAGGCUUUGACGGGUAGCCGGCCUGAGAGGGUGACCGGCCACAUUGGGACUGAGAUACGGCCCAGACUCCUACGGGAGGCAGCAGUGGGGAAUAUUGCACAAUGGGCGGAAGCCUGAUGCAGCAACGCCGCGUGCGGGAUGACGGCCUUCGGGUUGUAAACCGCUUUCGCCUGUAACGAAGCGUGAGUGACGGUAAUGGGUAAAGAAGCACCGGCUAACUACGUG
rnacentral:rRNA from 1 species